rnacentral:misc_RNA from 1 species
AAACAAAAAUGGCGGCUCGGAUAAACAUGACGAAGAUUUCUUCGCUGUUUCCAACUACAUUGUUGAGGAAAAAACUUCCGAUGCCGUGACAACAAAAUUAGCAGACUUAGUAAAUAAGCUGUUAGUCAACAAAUUAGAAGAUUCGAAGAAAAAUGACUUGUUUGAUAAACAUUUACGGCCAGAAAACUGCAAGUUGGAAUUUCCUCGAGUGAAUGAUUUCGUUUGGAACUAUUGUAUGAACGAAACUACGAGGUCGACGGACGUAAAGGUUCAUAAGAUCCAGAAAACCCUAUUGAAAGGACUUGGUCCCGUAAUCAAGGUGGUGGAUAGCUUGCUGAAACCUAACAAUGAAUUUGACAAAAACAAAGCAGCCAAAGAUCUGCUCGAUGGUGUGGCUUUGUUGGCCUCUAGUAACACUGAACUUUCUUUGCACAGAAAAGCAUGUAUAAAAAAUAACAUGAAACCAGAAUACAAAAAACUGUGCACUAGUCAGACUGAAAUAACGGCAUAUUUGUUUGGUGAUGACGUGGUGGAAAAAAUGAAAAACAUCACGGAACACAACAAAAUGGCUAACAAGGUAGCUUAUGAUGACAAAACUUCCAAAACUAGAAUGAAGUUCAAUCCUCGUCUGAAGUUCAGAGAAAGAUCCAAACCUAAUUUUUUAGGGAGAGGACCCCAGCAUUACCAGCUGGGGCAUUACAACCGGAACUACCACCACAGCAAUCACGAAACAAAGAAGAACUACAACAAGAAACCCGUGUCCCACCAAAAGUAGAGAAGCAUUAUCGACCGAGUAUGUCAAAAAAUCCUGAUGGACAAAGCAGAAGGCCUCUUGGUUACACCUCUAUGGGACACACAGAACUGGUACCCAAUCAUCUUGAGAAUGUGUGUGAAACCUCCACUUGCUCUGAAGCCAUCCAAAACAAUGCUGCAGUUGAAAAACAGUCCUACACAAGUGCACCCUCUGGCCCGAAAACUUCAUUUGAUGGUGUGCCAUGUUUCAGGGAAAAUUUCAAGAAACUGGAUUUAUCGGAAAGAUCAAUUUCAGUUCUUAUGAAAUCAUGGAGAGGCUCCACAUGUAAACAAUACAAUGUGUACAUUAAGAAGUGGUUUCAAUAUUCAAGUCAAGUUCAGUGUAACAGUUGUGUACCUACUAUUUCUAAUGUGUUAGAUUUUUUAGCAUCACUUAUGACAGAGGGUUGUGGUUAUAUAUAGUGCUAUAAACACAGCCAGAUCAGCACUGUCAGGUUUCAUUAUUGUAGAUAAUCUCCCUGUAGGCCAACAUCCUUUAGUGAAAAGAUUCUUGAGAGGUGUAUUCAAUAUUAAACCUUGUUUGCCUAGAUAUGGUACUACUUGGGAUGUAAAUAUAGUGUUAGAAUACCUUAGUUUGUUAGAAAAUGAGAGUUUGUCCUUACCAGAUAUGACCUCUAAGUUGACUAUGUUAUUAGCUUUAGUUUCAGGACAACGUUGUCAGUCCUUAGCUUGUUUAGAUAUAAGAGAUAUGUAUAUAGAGGAUGAUUGUAUAGUAUUUAGGUUUAAUGUGUUACUCAAGCAAACAAGACCAUCUUUUCAAGUUGCGCCUUUAGUGUUAAGAAAGUUUUCAGACAGUCCACCUCUGUGUGUAUAUUCACUGUUGAAACUGUACUUAAAAACAACAGCAGAUAUUAGAGGAGAUACAAUUAAGUUAUUGUUGAUGAUUAGAAAACCACAUAAUGCUGUAACUAGUCAAACGGUAGCUCGCUGGAUCAAAAAAGUGAUGACAGACGCUGGCAUAGACACGAACAUUUUUAGUGCACAUAGCACACGCUCCGCUGCCACUAGUGCUGCAAAGUCUGUGGGAAUGUCGCUCACCGGUAUCAUGAAUGCUGCAGGAUGGUCUAACUCAGGAACAUUUCAUAAGUUUUACCACAGAACUGUAAAUAGUGAUAAUUUUGGACUGUCAGUUUUAUCCAAAUAUUCCACAAGUGACAAUUCAACCCAAUAGGUUGAAAAUGUUUGUUUUAAUAAAUUUGGUAAAUU